GCCAUAGUAGUCUAGUGGUAAGACAUUUCUCUCGUAUAAAAUUAUACAGCGAAGAAGGAUCCCGUGUUCGAUUCACGGCUUUGGCA
rfam:Dictyostelium discoideum AX4 chromosome 3, whole genome shotgun sequence.